rnacentral:snRNA from 1 species
AAAUUUAAAAGAGAAAGUAAGAAGCUGUUUUCCCAGGAUAAGGCUCACCCAUUGCGCUUGGGGUGCGCUGAUCCCUGUGAUCUCCCCAUAUGUAGGAAACUCGACCAUAUAAUUUGUGGUAGUGGAGGACUGCAUUUGCACACUACUC